UACGUAGGGCGCAAGCGUUGUCCGGAAUUAUUGGGCGUAAAGAGCUCGUAGGCGGUUUGUCGCGUCUGCUGUGAAAACCUAAGGCUCAACCUUGGGCUUGCAGUGGGUACGGGCAGACUAGAGUGCGGUAGGGGUGACUGGAAUUCCUGGUGUAGCGGUGGAAUGCGCAGAUAUCAGGAGGAACACCAAUAGCGAAGGCAGCUCGCUGGGACGUUACUGACACUAAGGCGCGAAAGCGUGGGGAGCGAACAGG
rnacentral:rRNA from 1 species